rnacentral:rRNA from 1 species
GGGUUGUGAGGUUAAGCGACUAAGCGUACACGGUGGAUGCCCUGGCAGUCAGAGGCGAUGAAGGGCGUGCUAAUCUGCGAUAAGCGCCGGUAAGGUGAUAUGAACCGUUAUAACCGGCGAUACCCGAAUGGGGAAACCCAGUGUGAUUCGUCACACUAUCAUUAACUGAAUCCAUAGGUUAAUGAGGCGAACCGGGGGAACUGAAACAUCUAAGUACCCCGAGGAAAAGAAAUCAACCGAGAUUCCCCCAGUAGCGGCGAGCGAACGGGGAGGAGCCCAGAGCCUGAAUCAGCAUGUGUGUUAGUGGAAGCGUCUGGAAAGGCGCGCGAUACAGGGUGACAGCCCCGUACACAAAAGCGUAUGUGCUGUGAGCUCGAUGAGUAGGGCGGGACACGUGGUAUCCUGUCUGAAUAUGGGGGGACCAUCCUCCAAGGCUAAAUACUCCUGACUGACCGAUAGUGAACCAGUACCGU